rnacentral:rRNA from 1 species
GUGGUUUAAAAAGUUAGAGGUGAAAUCCCAGAGCUUAACUCUGGAACUGCCAUUAAAACUUUUCAGCUAGAGUAUGAUAGAGGAAAGCAGAAUUUCUAGUGUAGAGGUGAAAUUGGUAGAUAUUAGAAAGAAUACCAAUUGCGAAGGGAGCUUUCUGGAUCAUUACUGACACUGAGGAACGAAAGCAUGGGUAGCGAAGAGGAUUAGAUACCCUCGUAGUCCAUGCCGUAAACGAUGUGUGUUAGACGUUGGAAAUUUAUUUUCAGUGUCGCAGGGAAACCGAUAAACACACCGCCUGGGGAGUACAACCGCAAGGUU